UGCCUCAGUAACGGCGAGUGAAGCGGCAACAGCUCAAAUUUGAAAUCUGGCCUCUUCGGGGUCCGAGUUGUAAUUUGUAGAGGAUGUUUCGGGUACCGCCUCGGUUUAAAUUUCUUGGAACAGAAUGUCAGAGAGGGUGAGAAUCCCGUCUUGGACCGGCGGUAGGGCCCAUGUGAAACUCCUUCGACGAGUCGAGUUGUUUGGGAAUGCAGCUCAAAAUGGGUGGUAAAUUUCAUCUAAAGCUAAAUAUUGGCCAGAGACCGAUAGCGCACAAGUAGAGUGAUCGAAAGAUGAAAAGAACUUUGAAAAGAGAGUUAAACAGUAUGUGAAAUUGUUGAAAGGGAAGCGCUUACAACCAGACUUGAGCGCGGCGGUUCCCCCUUCCUUUUGGUUGGGUUACUCCGCCGUGUCCAGGCCAACAUCGGUUCUGGGGGUCGGUUAAAGGCCUGGGGAAUGUAUCUACUCCUUCGGGGGUAGACUUAUAGCCCCGGGUGUCAUGCGACCACCCGGGACCGAGGAACGCGCUUCGGCUCGGAUGUUGGCGUAAUGGUUGUCAGCGACCCGUCUUGAAACACGGACCAA
rnacentral:rRNA from 1 species